rnacentral:rRNA from 1 species
UGGGGAAUAUUGCACAAUGGGGGAAACCCUGAUGCAGCGACGCCGCGUGAGCGAAGAAGGUUUUCGAAUCGUAAAGCUCUGUCCUAUGGGAAGAUAAUGACGGUACCAUAGGAGGAAGCCCCGGCUAACUACGUGCCAGCAGCCGCGGUAAUACGUAGGGGGCAAGCGUUGUCCGGAAUCACUGGGCGUAAAGGGUUCGCAGGCGGAAAUGCAAGUCAGUUGUGAAAGGCAGAGGCUCAACCUCUGUAAGCAAUUGAAACUGUAUUUCUUGAGAUGUGGAGAGGCAAGUGGAAUUCCUAGUGUAGCGGUGAAAUGCGUAGAUAUUAGGAGGAAUACCUGUGGCGAAGGCGACUUACUGGACACAAAUCUGACGCUGAGGAACGAAAGCGUGGGUAGCAAACAGG